rnacentral:rRNA from 2 species
AGUCGACGAACUCUGGUAUUGAUUGGUGCUUGCAUCAUGAUUUACAUUUGAGUGAGUGGCGAACUGGUGAGUAACACGUGGGAAACCUGCCCAGAAGCGGGGGAUAACACCUGGAAACAGAUGCUAAUACCGCAUAACAACUUGGACCGCAUGGUCCGAGUUUGAAAGAUGGCUUCGGCUAUCACUUUUGGAUGGUCCCGCGGCGUAUUAGCUAGAUGGUGGGGUAACGGCUCACCAUGGCAAUGAUACGUAGCCGACCUGAGAGGGUAAUCGGCCACAUUGGGACUGAGACACGGCCCAAACUCCUACGGGAGGCAGCAGUAGGGAAUCUUCCACAAUGGACGAAAGUCUGAUGGAGCAACGCCGCGUGAGUGAAGAAGGGUUUCGGCUCGUAAAACUCUGUUGUUAAAGAAGAACAUAUCUGAGAGUAACUGUUCAGGUAUUGACGGUAUUUAACCAGAAAGCCACGGCUAACUACGUGCCAGCAGCCGCGGUAAUACGUAGGUGGCAAGCGUUGUCCGGAUUUAUUGGGCGUAAAGCGAGCGCAGGCGGUUUUUUAAGUCUGAUGUGAAAGCCUUCGGCUCAACCGAAGAAGUGCAUCGGAAACUGGGAAACUUGAGUGCAGAAGAGGACAGUGGAACUCCAUGUGUAGCGGUGAAAUGCGUAGAUAUAUGGAAGAACACCAGUGGCGAAGGCGGCUGUCUGGUCUGUAACUGACGCUGAGGCUCGAAAGUAUGGGUAGCAAACAGGAUUAGAUACCCUGGUAGUCCAUACCGUAAACGAUGAAUGCUAAGUGUUGGAGGGUUUCCGCCCUUCAGUGCUGCAGCUAACGCAUUAAGCAUUCCGCCUGGGGAGUACGGCCGCAAGGCUGAAACUCAAAGGAAUUGACGGGGGCCCGCACAAGCGGUGGAGCAUGUGGUUUAAUUCGAAGCUACGCGAAGAACCUUACCAGGUCUUGACAUACUAUGCAAAUCUAAGAGAUUAGACGUUCCCUUCGGGGACAUGGAUACAGGUGGUGCAUGGUUGUCGUCAGCUCGUGUCGUGAGAUGUUGGGUUAAGUCCCGCAACGAGCGCAACCCUUAUUAUCAGUUGCCAGCAUUAAGUUGGGCACUCUGGUGAGACUGCCGGUGACAAACCGGAGGAAGGUGGGGAUGACGUCAAAUCAUCAUGCCCCUUAUGACCUGGGCUACACACGUGCUACAAUGGAUGGUACAACGAGUUGCGAACUCGCGAGAGUAAGCUAAUCUCUUAAAGCCAUUCUCAGUUCGGAUUGUAGGCUGCAACUCGCCUACAUGAAGUCGGAAUCGCUAGUAAUCGCGGAUCAGCAUGCCGCGGUGAAUACGUUCCCGGGCCUUGUACACACCGCCCGUCACACCAUGAGAGUUUGUAACACCCAAAGUCGGUG